AUGCCUUCACCUCUUUCUGCAUGCAAACACCCAAACACCAUGAAUUCUGCCCUCACACAUAUCUCCUUCCACUCUCCCUCUUAUUUCAUCCUAAAACAGCGCCCGCAGUCCCGCCACCAGCAUAUCAGCAUCAAGUGGAGGAAGAGGCAACAAUGUUCAGCAAAGCCCAUACGAGCCAUACCAGGCCCGAAUGCAACCGGUGCUUACCGUGGAGGUAAUGCCUUACCAUCUUCACCCCUGACAGAUGUGAUUCAGGAGUUCUACUCCUCCCUCAAUGACAAGGAUAUCACGCGGCUCAACAAGCUGAUUUCCCCUGAUUGCGUCAUCGAGGACACUGCAUACUACAAACCGCUGGACGUCAAGAAUACCCAUACCUACUUCACAAGGCUUAUCAAAGUUAUGGGGAAGAAUGCCAAAUUUGCUAUCGAUGAGGUUUGUCAAGGAGUAGAACCCACUGUUGCAGUAAUGUGGCACCUUGAGUGGCGCGGAGAGAUGAUCCCAUUUGCCAAGGGCUGCAGUUUCUUCAUGUGUUCAGCAAAUGGAGCAGCCCUUCUUAUUAGGAAAGUUCAUAUCUUCGACGAGUCACCCCUGAAACCAGGAAAGCUGGCAUUGGAAAUACUUAAUUUUGUGACCAACGUGUUCGACACAUUCCCAUAUAUAGCUAAAGGUUUCCUAAAGAAUAAAGAAGCACUAGCUCGGUUCUUCGCGAGGUUUUAUAAAUUCUGCGGGCCUUUUAUCGUCCCUCUUGUUGCAUAUUAUACCGACGUCCCUAUUCUUGCAUAUUAUACCCGCUUCUGGUCAUAUGUGGCACAAGGAUUCACUAUGGUGCUCAACAUGCUGUAUAACAUUUUCAAGCGGUUCAUGUAA
rnacentral:rRNA from 1 species